rnacentral:lncRNA from 1 species
GGAAAAUGUCAACAAUAAAGUCAUCACUGGUGGGACCUCAAGGCAGCAGAGUGGAAUCACAACUAGAUCCUGCAAUGUAACUAAUCAAAAUCUUAUGAAUUUUUUUUUACAAAGCAGAAAUUCCAUACGUUUUGACCCACGAAGGGGAGAGCUUCAGCACAUGAAACAGAUUCGUCUGGAGUAAUAGGAAGUAUGUCCAAAUGAGGGAGGAGGCAUCCAAAAGGACAAGACCUGCUAAGCACUCUGAGAGCAUCGUCUACACCUGCUGCUUCCAGAUCAUCAUCUCCCAGUUGUUCCCAGCAGCCCAGCAGUCUGACUUCCAUCCCUACCAUCCCAACAGAACUGCCCUCGCCAACCUCCUCCACAUGCACCAUGGUCCGAAGAUAAUGAACACUGCUCAGGACUCGCCUAACUGGGACAAAAUUGAUUCCUAUCUGGACGUGCAGCCAUGCAUGUCCACGUAAUUAUGGAUAACAGUGCAGUGUCACCUUAGCAACAAGUGAUCAGUCUUUCAUUUAGAAGCCACAGUUUGGCUAGGGUAAAUGUUAAUGAGAGGCUUCUAAUGGAGUAUGGCAGUUUUAAAACAUACCAAAAUCUUUGAUUCUCCUCUUAAUCCAUCUCCUAUUGCCCCGUCCUCUGCAAUCUGGGCCAAGGAGUACAGCACAGCAGUAGCGAUGCCAUGUGCCUUCCAAGACGAUGUCAUAAAAGACUGUAUUAUAGUUCUCCACCUGGUUCUCCUGGAACAAUCACUCUUAUAACCCAGCUACCAUGGUAUGACAAGGUCCAGGCAGCCCAUGGCGUGUUCUACAUGAAGAGGGCCAUUUGGAGAGGAACCAGGACCCCGGCCCUGGACCCCAACUGAGCUCUGGUCAACAGCCUUUUGAGCAGCCAUCUUGAAAGAGGAUUCUCCAGCCCCCUGAACGGUCCCAGCUGACACUGCAUGGAACCCAAACCUUCCAUGCCUAGCCAUGCCCAAGUUGCCUAUUUCCGAACUCAAUAACUGUUGUUUUGAGCCACUGUUUUGAAGAGGUUUGCUACACA